UACGGAGGGGGCCAGCGUUGUUCGGAAUCAUUGGGCGUAAAGGGCGCGUAGGCGGCCAAUCAAGUCCGACGUGAAAUUCCCCGGCUCAACCGGGGCCUGCGUCGGAUACUGCUUGGCUUGAGUCCCGGAGAGGGUAGUGGAAUUCCCAGUGUAGCGGUGAAAUGCGUAGAUACUGGGAGGAACACCGGUGGCGAAGGCGGCUACCUGGACGGGUACUGACGCUGAGGCGCGAAAGCUAGGGAGCAAACAGG
rnacentral:rRNA from 1 species